GAUGAAGAACGCAGCGAAAUGCGAUAAGUAAUGUGAAUUGCAGAAUUCAGUGAAUCAUCGAAUCUUUGAACGCACAUUGCGCCCCCUGGUAUUCCGGGGGGCAUGCCUGUUCGAGCGUCAUUUCACCACUCAAGCCUCGCUUGGUAUUGGGCAUCGCGGUCCGCCGCGCGCCUCAAAUCGACCGGCUGGGUCUUCUGUCCCCUAAGCGUUGUGGAAACUAUUCGCUAAAGGGUGUUCGGGAGGCUACGCCGUAAAACAACCCCAUUUCUAAGGUUGACCUCGGAUCAGGUAGGGAUACCCGCUGAACUUCAGCAUAUCAAUAAGCGGAGGA
rnacentral:misc_RNA from 1 species